UACAGAGGUCUCAAGCGUUGUUCGGAUUCAUUGGGCGUAAAGGGUGCGCAGGCUGCGGGGCAAGUCGGACGUGAAAUCCCGGGGCUUAACCCCGGAACUGCGUUCGAUACUGCCUUGCUUGAGGACUGGAGAGGAGACUGGAAUUCCUGGUGUAGCAGUGAAAUGCGUAGAUAUCAGGAGGAACGCCAAUGGCGAAGGCAAGUCUCUGGACAGUUCCUGACGCUCAUGCACGAAGGCCAGGGGAGCAAACGGG
rnacentral:rRNA from 1 species